rnacentral:rRNA from 1 species
UACGAAGGGGGCUAGCGUUGUUCGGAGUUACUGGGCGUAAAGGGCGCGUAGGCGGCGCACCAAGUCAGGCGUGAAAGCCCUGGGCUCAACCCGGGAAUUGCGCUUGAGACUGGUGUGCUUGAGUACGGGAGGGGAUAGUGGAAUUCCCAGUGUAGAGGUGAAAUUCGUAGAUAUUGGGAAGAACACCGGUGGCGAAGGCGGCUAUCUGGACCGUAACUGACGCUGAGGCGCGAAAGCGUGGGGAGCAAACAGG